UGGGCAACCUGCCCUCAGCUCUGGGAUAACUCCGGGAAACCGGGGCUAAUACCGGAUAUGACCAUCCCUGGCAUCUGGGGUGGUGGAAAGUUCUUCGGCUGAGGAUGGGCCCGCGGCCUAUCAGCUAGUUGGUGGGGUGACGGCCUACCAAGGCGACGACGGGUAGCCGGCCUGAGAGGGCGACCGGCCACACUGGGACUGAGACACGGCCCAGACUCCUACGGGAGGCA
rnacentral:rRNA from 1 species